GUCUAUGGCCAUACCACCCUGAACAAGCCCGAUCCCAUCUGAUUUCGGAAGCUAAGCAGGGUCUGGCCUGGUUAGUACUUGGAUGGAAGACCACCUAGAAAGACCAGGUGCUAUAGGUA
ensembl:rRNA 5S_rRNA 5S ribosomal RNA